AGGUAUUUUGUGUACGGGAAACCUAAUUCCGAUGGCAGCUGCAGCGAUAGGAAGCGUGGUGCCGGCGGGGAGGGCGGCGCGGAGGGCGGCGCGGAGGGCGAUGGAGGAUGACAAGUUGGUCUUUGAGACGACGCCUGGUGUAGACCCUGUUAUGAUAUUCGAUAAGAUGGGAAUCAAGGACGAUGUGCUUGGUGGAAUCUACGCAUACGGCUUUGAGAAGCCCUCUGCAAUCCAGCAGAGGGCCGUCAUGCCUAUUAUUCAGGGCCGAGACGUCAUCGCACAGGCACAGUCCGGUACUGGCAAGACCUCCAUGAUUGCUCUAACUGUUUGCCAGAUGGUUGAUACAGCUAGCCGAGAGGUCCAGGUCUUGAUAUUGUCACCUACGAGGGAACUGGCAUCUCAGACAGAGAAGGUAAUAUUGGCCAUUGGUGAUUAUAUUAACAUACAAGCACUUGCGUGUACUGGUGGAAAAAGCGUGGGUGAGGAUAUCAGAAAGCUAGAACAUGGAGUUCAUGUGGUAUCCGGAACUCCAGGCAGGGUGUGUGACAUGAUCAAGCGGAGAACUCUACGUACCAAAGCCAUUAAACUAUUAGUUCUUGAUGAGUCUGAUGAAAUAUUGAGCAGAGGUUUCAAGGACCAAAUUUAUGAUGUAUAUAGAUACAUUCCCCCAGAGCUUCAGGUUGUCUUGAUCUCAGCCACUCUUCCGCAUGAAAUUUUGGAGAUGACAACCAAGUUCAUGAAUGACCCUGUAAAGAUCCUUGUGAAACGUGAUGAGUUGACUAUGGAGCGCAUGGAACAGUUUUUUGUUACAGUUGAAAGAGAGGAUUGGAAGUUUGAUACUCUCUGCGACCUUUGUGAUAACAUUUCAAUCACCCGAGCUGUUAUUUUUUGCAAUACCAAGCGCAAGGUGGAUUGGUUAACUGAGAAGAUGCGGAGCACUAACUUUACUGUGUCAUCUAUGCAUGGGAACAUGCCACAGAAGGAGCGAGAUGCCAUUAUGCUAGAGUUUCGGUCUGGGGCAACCCGUGUCUUGAUCACCACUGAUAUUUGGGCUCAGGGUCUGGAUGUUCAACAGGUUAGUGUUUUUUUCCUUUUUUUCCCCCUUUUUUCUUCUACUGCUUACAGGAGGAGCGAGAUGCCAUGAUGCUAGAGUUUCGGUCUGUGGCAACCCGUGUCUUGAUCAUAGCUGAUAUUUGGGUUCGGGGUCUGGAUGUUCAACAGGUUAAUCUUGUGAUCAAUUAUGACCUUCCAAACAAUCGUGAGCUUUACAUACACCGGAUUGGUCGUACUGGCCGUUUUGGACGCAAGGGUGUGGCCAUAAAUUUCGUCAAGACUGAUGAAAUCAAGAUUCUAAGAGACAUAGAGCAGUACUACAGUACCCACGUUGAAGAGCUGCCGAUGAAUGUUGCUGAUCUCGUAUAAAUGUUACUGUUGAAUCAGUUCCAACUGUUUUCAAUUUUUCUAUUACAAUCAGCUUGAUUGCAACGCACAAUGCAAAACAAUAAAUAGAUGAAUAUGGAUUUCCCUUUUUAUUCUUUUUCCUAAUCUGCAUAAAAGGAAAAUGAGAGACGAAGGCAAGA